rnacentral:rRNA from 1 species
AGUGAACGCUGGCGGUAGGCCUAACACAUGCAAGUCGAACGGCAGCACAGUAAGAGCUUGCUCUUACGGGUGGCGAGUGGCGGACGGGUGAGGAAUACAUCGGAAUCUACUUUUUCGUGGGGGAUAACGUAGGGAAACUUACGCUAAUACCGCAUACGACCUACGGGUGAAAGCAGGGGAUCUUCGGACCUUGCGCGAUUGAAUGAGCCGAUGUCGGAUUAGCUAGUUGGCGGGGUAAAGGCCCACCAAGGCGACGAUCCGUAGCUGGUCUGAGAGGAUGAUCAGCCACACUGGAACUGAGACACGGUCCAGACGCCUAAGGGAGGCAGCAGCGGGGAAUAUUGGACAAUGGGCGCAAGCCUGAUCCAGCCAUACCGCGUGGGUGAAGAAGGCCUUCGGGUUGUAAAGCCCUUUUGUUGGGAAAGAAAAGCAGCAGGUUAAUACCCCGCUGUUCUGACGGUACCCAAAGAAUAAGCACCGGCUAACUUCGUG